UACGAAGGGUGCAAGCGUUACUCGGAAUUACUGGGCGUAAAGCGUGCGUAGGUGGUUCGUUAAGUCUGAUGUGAAAGCCCUGGGCUCAACCUGGGAAUGGCAUUGGAAACUGGCGACCUAGAGUGCGGUAGAGGGCAGUGGAAUUCCCGGUGUAGCAGUGAAAUGCGUAGAGAUCGGGAGGAACAUCUGUGGCGAAGGCGACUGCCUGGACCAGCACUGACACUGAGGCACGAAAGCGUGGGUAGCAAACAGG
rnacentral:rRNA from 1 species